AAAAAAUAUAUUUUUAAUGGUAAGAAUACAUUUGUAUGUACAUAAUUAAAAACAGGGUUAUUAUUAAUGCAUCAUACAAUAAACUCGAGUUGUAAUUUGUAAUGAGGUUUUCCGGAUACCAUAAAUGAGAGAGUUGCCAGCAGGCAUGAGAUGAUCAAUUGAUAAUAUCCAUUCUGCGUAGCCAAAGCUAUACCUGCAAACAGUCUACUGAACGCUUUUAAAAGUUCAAUGAAUAUUAACUAUGCAAUAAUAUUAACCACAACAUUAAUCUAUCUCCUCGCCUUCCAGAC